rnacentral:rRNA from 1 species
UGCAGUCGAGCGCACCUUCUGGUGAGCGGCGGACGGGUUAGUAACGCGUGGGAACAUACCCUUUUCUGCGGAAUAGCCUUUGGAAACGAAGAGUAAUACCGCAUACGCCCUUCGGGGGAAAGAUUUAUCGGUGAAGGAUUGGCCCGCGUUAGAUUAGAUAGUUGGUGGGGUAAUGGCCUACCAAGUCUACGAUCUAUAGCUGGUUUGAGAGGAUGAUCAGCAACACUGGGACUGAGACACGGGCCAGACUCCUACGGGAGGCAGCA